rnacentral:rRNA from 1 species
UGGUCAAGUUAUUAAGGGUGCAGGGCGGAUGCCUUGGCACUAGGAGCCGAUGAAGGACGUGAUAAGCUGCGAUAAGCUUCGGGGAGUUGCACGUAAACUUUGAUCCGAAGAUUUCCGAAUGAGGAAACUCACUUAGAGUAAUGUCUAAGUAUCAUUAAGUGAAUACAUAGCUUAAUGAGGGGAACUCAGGGAACUGAAACAUCUAAGUACCUGAAGGAAGAGAAAGAAAUUCGAUUCCGUAAGUAGCGGCGAGCGAACGCGGAUUAGCCCAAACCAAUAAAGUUUUCUUUAUUGGGGUUGCGGACAUAUCAUAACGAAGAGGUAUCGUAAUUGAAGAGGUUUGGAAAGACCCACCACAGAAGGUAAUAGUCCUGUAUGUUAAACGAGAAGACUUCAGAUAUGAUCCAGAGUACCACGGGACACGUGAAACCCUGUGGGAAGCAGGAGGGACCACCCUCCAAGGCUAAAUACUACCUAGUGACCGAUAGCGUAUAGUACCGUGAGGGAAAGGUGAAAAGAACCCCGGGAGGGGAGUGAAAUAGAACCUGAAACCCUGCACUUACAAGCUGUGGAAGCACAUUUCUUGUGUGACCGCGUACUUUUUGUAGAACGGGCCAACGAGUUACGUUAAGUAGCAAGGUUAAGCACUUAAGGUGUGGAGCCGUAGCGAAAGCGAGUUUUAACUGAGCGUUCAGUUACUUGACGUAGACCCGAAACCGGGCGACCUACCCAUGAGCAGGAUGAAGCGAAAGUAAAAUUUCGUGGAGGUCCGAACCCACGAGCGUUGAAAAGCUCGGGGAUGACUUGUGGGUAGCGGUGAAAUUCCAAUCGAGCCCGGAGAUAGCUGGUUCUCCCCGAAAUAGCUUUAGGGCUAGCCUCAAGGUGAGAGAUACGGAGGUAGAGCACUGAAUGUCCUAGGGGGUAUUGCACCUACCGAAGACUAUCAAACUCCGAAUGCCGUCAUCUUAUACUUGGGAGUCAGACUGUGGGUGAUAAGAUUCAUAGUCGAAAGGGCAACAGCCCAGAUCGUCAGCUAAGGUCCCUAAAUGUAAGUUAAGUGGUAAAGGAUGUGGGAUUGCACAGACAACCAGGAUGUUGGCUUAGAAGCAGCCACUCAUUCAAAGAGUGCGUAAUAGCUCACUGGUCGAGUGAUCCUGCGCCGAAGAUUUCCGGGGCUAAAACUUACUACCGAAGCUACGGCAUCAGUAAUGAUGGGUAGGGGAGCUUCCCAUACGGGUUGAAGCAUGACCGUAAGGACAUGUGGACAGUAUGGGAGUGAGAAUGUUGGCAUGAGUAGCGAGAUGUGGGUGAGAAUCCCACAGGCCGUAAACCCAAGGUUUCCAGGGGAAGGUUCGUCCGCCCUGGGUUAGUCGGGACCUAAGCUGAGGCCGAAAGGCGUAGGUGAUGGACAACAGGUUGAUAUUCCUGUACUACCGAUAACCGUUUGAGAGAAGGGAUGACACAGUAGGAUAAGCUAAGCACACUGUUGGUUAUGUGUGCCCAAGCAUUGAGGCAGUCAAAGUAGGCAAAUCCGCUUUGAUAAUGCUGGGAUGUGAUGGGGAGCGAAAUUUAGUAGCGAAGUAGCUGAUUUCACACUGUCAAGAAAAGUCUCUAUCGAGGUUAAAGGUACCCGUACCGCAAACCGACACAGGUGGGUGAGGAGAGUAUCCUAAGGCCAGCGAGAGAACUGUUGUUAAGGAACUCGGCAAAAUGACCCCGUAACUUAGGGAUAAGGGGUGCCACCAUCAGGUGGCCGCAGAGAAUAGGCCCAAGCGACUGUUUACCAAAAACAUAGGUUUCUGCUAAGUCGCAAGACGAUGUAUAGGAGCUGACGCCUGCCCGGUGCUGGAAGGUUAAGGGGAUCUGUUAGAGCAAUCGAAGCAGUGAACUUAAGCCCCAGUAAACGGCGGCCGUAACUAUAACGGUCCUAAGGUAGCGAAAUUCCUUGUCGGGUAAGUUCCGACCCGCACGAAAGGCGUAACGAUUUGGGCACUGUCUCAACAACAGACUCGGUGAAAUUGUAAUUCCGGUGAAGAUGCCGGAUACCUGCGACAGGACGGAAAGACCCCAUGGAGCUUUACUGUAGCUUGACAUUGGGUCUUGGUACUACAUGUACAGGAUAGGUGGGAGGCUUUGAAACCAGGACGCCAGUUUUGGCGGAGUCAUCCUUGGGAUACCACCCUUGUAGUACUGGGACUCUAACCAUAGGCCAUGAAUCUGGUCUUGGGACACUGUCAGGUGGGCAGUUUGACUGGGGCGGUCGCCUCCCAAAAGGUAACGGAGGCGCUCAAAGGUUCUCUCAGUACGGUCGGAAAUCGUACGUAGAGUGUAAAGGCAAAAGAGAGCUUGAUUGCAAGACAUACAGGUCGAGCAAGGAUGAAAAUCGGACUUAGUGAUCCGGUGGUUCUGCGUGGAAGGGCCAUCGCUCAACGGAUAAAAGCUACCCUGGGGAUAACAGGCUUAUCUCCCCCAAGAGUCCACAUCGACGGGGAGGUUUGGCACCUCGAUGUCGGCUCAUCACAUCCUGGGGCUGUAGUAGGUCCCAAGGGUUGGGCUGUUCGCCCAUUAAAGUGGUACGCGAGCUGGGUUCAGAACGUCGUGAGACAGUUCGGUCCCUAUCCGUCGCAGGCGUAGGAAAUUUGAGAAGACCUGUCCUUAGUACGAGAGGACCGGGAUGGACGUACCUCUGGUGUACCAGUUGUUCUGCCAAGGGCAUGGCUGGGUAGCUAUGUACGGAAUGGAUAAGCGCUGAAAGCAUCUAAGCGCGAAGCCAACUUCAAGAUAAGAUUUCCCACCGUAAGGGUAAGACCCCAGAAAGACUAUCUGGUUGAUAGGUCGAAGGUGUAAGUGCAGCAAUGUAUUUAGCUUAUCGAUACUAAUAGGUCGAGGACUUGACCAAUAUUAUUUGAUGUUCACUU